UUCUGGUACAAAUUUUCUUCUCCUCUUAUCUGAAAAAAAUCUCCUCUCUCUCCCUAAAUCGUCAGGGGAUACAGUAGAGCGACACGGAGGCCGCCGACGAGCGUUUUGCGGGAGGCUCCGCUAGGACGCCGCUGACAAGCGCGGGGAGCCGGGGGCGCUGGGAGGGCCACAAAAGGCCGCUCUCGCUGCCGACGAGCAUGAGACGUGAGGAGGAGGCGCGCGCCACGGAGAGGACUCCACCAGGAUGAUGUCUACUUCGCCAUGCCGUCGCCGCCGAGCUCUAGGAGGAGGCUCGAUGCGGGGAGGGAUGCACAAGACUCUUCCACGCCACUGCUGACGAGAUUGAGGAGGAGGCUUCCGCCUCGACGGCGGAGACGCCGCCGACAACCAACUUACCAACACGCAGCAGGGAUGCAGCCGUCGACUCCGCUACGCGGAUGAUGACGAGCGCGAUGAGGAGGCUUCCACCCCCUGACUGGAGACGCCACCGACGAUGAGCACCAAGCGUGAGAGUCCACCUCAAAGCGCGGAUCGAUGGAGGACGCCGCCGCACAACGAGCAUCAGGGAAGGUCGCACGCUCGCUGCCGAGCACACACCAGGGAAGCCGUGCGCUCGCCACGGCGCCGCGUUCUUAUACGACCGAGAUCACAGAUGGACUUACUGGAGUGGAGUUUGAGCUAGAAGCUACUCAAAGAUGCAAGUGUGUUCUUAAUGCUGUGAUUGAAAGAUUUGCCACAGAAGCACCUCCACAGGCGGAAACCAGUCCAUGCCUGCCUCCAUGUAUGGUUUGGGCGAGCCGCUCCAUUAUGACAGACGAGAGGGACAUUGACAACAUGGGAACAUCUUCAUUGGCUUAAUUGUUACAUCAGUUUUGUUUUGUCGGCUCCGGAGCAGAGUCUCCGAAGAUGGGAACAUCGACACACAGAGCCCAUAUGUGUUUGCACAUGCCCGAGGCUGGGCAUGUGGGCGUCCUGAUGCUGACGCUGGCUGGACGACCACGAAGACCGUCUUGAAGCUGGUCCUUUCCAUUCCUCCCUUCUCUUCCGUUUGCAGUAUGAUGCUUAAUCCCUUUGGUCUCUAUUUUAUUUGCAGAAUUGCAGUACAAGACUGCUGCGGCUGGUGUCAAAUACACGACAACUGCCUGAUUUAUCCGUGUGUAUUACACGCUACAUACAAUCAGCUUUGCCCAUGCAACUGAGGACGAAAGUGAUCAUGUGUAGCAGUUCGUGUCACAAAUUCUGAAGAAAUUGAGAUGCAAAGAAGAAAUAACAUGUGCAGUUUGAAGUCUGAAAAAUAUAUAGAUGAGGCCUGUAGAAGAUUGAGGCCCUCUUUGGAUCACCACCGGAGAAGGCGGUGCUGGAAUCUGGUACUUUCCAUGCAAGCUGACACGCCAUCGAUCAAAACUAGAGCUGGAGGAUGAAAAACAUAUACAUGGAGCUGAAACCUCAAACAUACGAGUAUAUUUUAAUAAGCAGUUUAGAUCUUUGCUAUAAGUUUUUCUAUCCAGAGGUUGUUGCUGACCCGAGCACAAGAAUUCAAGAAAGGACCAGAACAGAAGAACUAUAGAGAUUUCUGCAGGAGAAGUGAAUGAACGCACCAUACUGAAUUCUCUCCGUUGUUUGUUGCCUCUCGACUAGCAGUGUAUGCUACUCCUUUUGGCAAGUUUCUUGGGUUUGUUAUUACUCUUAAGGACUGAAGGGGUGCUUUACUUCCUUUGAAGUAAUAAGAAGAGAAAAAAUUGAGGCCUUUCUCCUUGGUCUUAUUUUAAUUUUGAGAUGGUUGCAUUGUUCCUUAAUUUUUCGGUUAUACAAAUUUCAUAUGAAUUGGAUGAAGAUCCAUAGGUAUAUGUGAUGAGUUGGAGACUUUUUCAAAAUUUCCUUUUAUGCUAGGAUGCAGGGGGUAAUUUAGAAGGGGAAGUAUUGGAGCUAGAAGAAUGGAGUCAACAGGUUCGCUAGCUUUUCUUAUGUUGUUCUAGAUGGUGUUGAAUGUAAAGUCGGAUGUAGAAGUUUUGUUUUUCAUGAUGACUUCAGAAUCUCGCUGAUGUUGCUGAUAGCUCAAAGUAACUUAAUAUUGUGUUCAAAAUGUUACUACUAUGGUCUAUAAUGUACAGUACGAACAUCUUGCAUGCAAUCGUAUGUCUCCCUUCUCCUUCCAUUAAGCUCUGCAAAAUGAUCAUUUUUAUAUGACACCAUAAUUAUUUUGAAGUAAAUAGCACUUCGUAUGCAGCGAUGGUUAUUAUUCUAGACUCUUAUGUUUGUUAAUAAUGGAUAAUGUCAAAUUAGUGGAAUCAAAAUGCCACACAAGAGCACCAAAUAAUUGAAAAUGUCCAGAUAAACCAAUUCACGUAUAUGUAGAUCAAGUAUAUAAAUAGAUGCUCUCAUGUCAUGGUCAAGUAGGUAUAUGCAUCUUACAUUUCUCCCGCUGCCCCCAAACAGCUUAUUUUUGACAAGUCAUCAUGCUGACCUUUUCAUUUCUAAAUGAUACAACUGUUUGUGCAAAGUUUCCUGUUUUAUAUUGCAUAUUCAACAGGACGGCUCUAUCAUUUAUUAUUUGCAGUUUAGGAAACUACUAGGAUCUAUAUCAUGGUUUAAUACAACACUACUUUACAAUGGGAGAUCUGUUUUUGUGUCAGAUGUAAUUGUUGGACAUGGAUGUGUAUUUAUCAGAAAGUUUUAAAAUAAAAUUCAACGUCUUGGGUUAGCCCAUGAGUAGGCCGCCUUGGCUCAGAGAUUGAGGUCUGUCUGAAUCCUGAUCAAGUAGAGUACUGAGCAUUGUGCAUUGUGCGUUCAAAGCUUUGUAAUCGAUUGUAAUACUCGAGUGACAGUAAUAUAUAAGCACCUUUUCAACCUAUAAAUAAGAAGACAUAUAGAAUUGACAACUAUUUUCCUCCAGUCUCAUAGUUGACAUAGUAUUUCCUAACUUCAUGUAUCCUCACUGUGACUUCCUUCAACAACUACUAUUUUCUUUCCAGUGUUGGAUUUUACUUAAUCUGAAUUUACUGUUCAUGGUAACAUAACAUACUUGUGUAUGUUAGCAUGCUUUCUACAUAACACCAACUCUCUUUCUGCUCUUGCGGUGUUUACAAUGAACUAGAUGACAUAUCCAUGGCAUUUCACGGAUCUUGCUCUAUCAUUUUCAUGUUUCAGAUUAAUACGUCAGCUAGCCAUAGCACAGUGCUCUAUCAUUUUCAUGUUUCAGAUUAAUACUUCAGCUAGCCAUAGCACAGGUGCGGCGUGCCGCCGCGCCAGCCAUUGCUAGUUUGGAUAAUGCCGAAACAUGACCAUCCUAUUUUAUAAUGUAUGUUUCACAGGAACUAAGAAAUGUGGAAAGAAAUAAGCUCCUAAAUUAUAUAAGAAAGCAAGACUUGAAAGAACCGUACAGACCUAAGGCUCUAGGACUAAUCAGUGUUGAAAACAGUUGAAUAGCUUAUUCAUAGGUCUGAAAAAUGGCUUUGUCUUGGUACAGUUCGUAUCACACAUUUUCUUCUAUUUUACUUUGCAGGGUCGCUACAUAUACCAAUAAGCAUAGAGUUGAAGAGGUCUCUCAGUUUGAUGGGAGAUUUGAAGAUGAAUCUCAGUUUGAGGCACCUGUAGAUAGUACUAAUGACGAGCCUUUCAUAGACGAAGGUCCUGCACCUGAGAUUAUCCAGCCUACAGAAGGAGGCCGUGGACCGAGUACACAGCUUUGCGUUGAAGUGGAUGCACGCCCGGAGAUCAUCAGGGGCGUCCGGGUAGUCUCAAGACCACCCAGCCCCGAUGCACUCGUGGAUGGUACCGAUGACGAGCCUCUCAUAGACGAAGGUCCUGCACCUGAGAUUAUCCAGCCUACAGAAGGAGGCCGUGGACCGAGUACACAGCUUUGCGUUGAAGAGGAU